ensembl:lncRNA
CACAACCUAUAGAUCCUGGGGCCCCAGAGCUGAGCUGUCACAUCUUAUUUUUAUAUCCUACUCCCAGUGUGUGAGUGUUUUACCAAGAUGUUUUCUUUUCUCUCAUUUGAUAUUUUCAGCAAUUGCUAUUGUUCUGCAGUCUCCAAACGGGCUCUGGGAGCCCAAGGACAGCACGAAAAGCUGAAGUAUGGGAAACAUUGUACCCGGAAAGGGCAGAGCAGGAGGACUGACAGGGGUGACAGAGACUCCAAGGUCUUCUGGAAAUGUGGUGCCUCACUAUCCCUGAUGCAAGAGCUGUACUUGGGUGCUGUGGCAUUUCACAGUUUGCCUGAUCUUGUCUGUGAAGCUUUUCCAGGAGGGACACUGGCUUACUCCUUAGCCGUGCUCACUCAGACUAAUUCAGAGACCUGCCCUGCCUCCUGGGUUGCGCAAAUCCAGAUUUCGUAUUUUUUCCUCUCUGGAGAACAUCGCCUCUUUCCCUCAGAAAAAUCCCUUGGCUCAGCACUGAUUUCAGGCUCCGAUAUGAAGUGCUUUAUUUGUAAAGCCUCCCUUGUUUGGCUCCCACUCACCUUGCCUGACCUCCUCCUCCUCCUCCUCCUUCCUCUCCUUCUCUUGGCCACGGGCUCCCUGGGCAAUCCUGUAGCGACCUCCCCUCUGUCCUCUUGCUGAACCUUAUCCUGGCACUGGAAGAGCGAUGGGAAGGCCCUGUAGCCCAGCCUGCCUGGCAAGAGCUCUCCUGGAGCUCCUCUUUCUCUUCUUUCUCUUCUUUCUCUCGCUGCAGCACACGCCUCUUUCAGCCUGCUUGCCAUGCCAUUUCCUUUCUCCAGCUCUCUUCCCUCCAUGGGAACGAGGAGCUGGGCAGCAGCACAAGGCAGCAGGGCAGCAAACCUACAGCAUCUGAAAGAGCUUCUGUGAAUAAAGUGGGAAUAUUCCCUGUUUUGUUUCUA